AGCUAAGCACUCCUUUUCGCUCCCCUGCAUGGGCCUCUGCCCUCUCAUUGGCUGUAGAAAAUGGUGAAAGAAACUAUUUGCUAUGAUGUUUUGGGAGUCAAACCCAAGGCCACUCACGAAGAAUUGAAGAAGGCAUAUAGAAAACUGGCCUUGAAGUACCACCCUGAUAAGAAUCCAAAUGAAGGUGAGAAGUUUAAACAGAUUUCUCAAGCUUAUGAAGUUCUCUCUGAUGCGAAGAAAAGGGAAUUAUAUGACAAAGGACGAGAACAGGCAAUUAAAGAGGGUGGAGCAGGUGGUGGUUUUGGUUCCCCCAUGGACAUCUUUGAUAUGUUUUUUGGAGGAGGAAAAAGGAUGCAGAGAGAAAGGAGAGGUAAAAAUGUUGUACAUCAGCUCUCAGUUACCUUAGAACAUUUAUAUAAUGGUGCUACAAGAAAACUGGCUCUGCACAAGAAUGUGAUUUGCGACAAAUGUGAAGGCUGAGGUGGCAAAAAGGAAGCAGCGGAGUGCUGUCCCAAUUGCUGAGGUACUGGAAUGCAAAUAAGAAUGCAUCAGAUAGGACCUGGAAUGGUUCAGCAAAUUCAGUCUGUGUGCAUGGAGUGCCAGAGCCAUGGAGAACAGAUCAGUCCUAAAGAUAGAUGUAAAAGCUGCAAUGGAAGGAAGAUAGUUCGAGAGAAGAAGAUUCUGGAAGUCCAUAUUGACAAAGGCAUGAAAGAUGGCCAGAAGGAGACCAAGAACCAGGAUUGGAGCCAGGAGAUAUUAUCAUUGUGUUAGAUCAGAAGGACCAUGCUGUUUUUACUCGAUGAGGAGAAGACCUUUGCAUGUGUAUGGACAUACAGCUGGUUGAAGCAUUGCAUGGCUUCCAAAAGCCAGUAUCUACUCUCGACAACUGAACCAUAGUCAUCACCUCUCAUCCAGGUCAGAUUGUCAAGCAUGGAGAUAUCAAGUGUGUGCUAAAUGAAGGCAUGCCAAUUUAUCGUAGACCAUAUGAAAAGGGUAGACUAAUCGUAGACUAGUCUAAUUCGUAGACUAAUCAUCGAAUUUAUGGUAAACUUUCCUGAAAAUGGCUUUCUUUCUCCUGACAAACUCUCAUUGCUGGAAAAACUUCUACCAGAGAGGAAGGAAGUAGAAAAGACUGAUGAAAUGGAUCAAGUAGAACGGAUGGACUUUGAUCCAAAUCAGGAAAGACGGUGCCAUUACAAUGGAGAAGCAUAUGAGGAUGAUGAACAUCAGCCCAGAGGUGGUGUUUAG